AAAACAUCUCUUAUUGGUUUUAUAUUAAGUAUGACCUGCCCUAUGAAUGUUAAAUGGCUGCAGUAUUUUGACUGUACAAAGGUAGCAUAAUCAUUAGUUUAUUAAUUGUGAGCUUGUAUGAAUGGUUUGACGAAAUAUUAACUGUCUCAAUUUUAUUUUUAGAAUUUAAUUUUUUAGUUAGAAAGCUUAAAUUGUUUUAUUGGACGAGAAGACCCUAUAGAUCUUUAUUUUUAUUAUUUAGGGUUAUUUUUAGAUUAUUUAUUUAUUUUAAUUAUUAAAUUUUUUGUUGGGGUGACGGGAGGAUAUUAUUAACUCCUUUUAUUUGUAUAUAUUUAUUUAUGUUUUUUUUAUUUUUUAAUAUUGGAUUAAGAUAAAGAUACCUUAGGGAUAACAGCGUUAUUUUCUUUGGGAGCCCUUAUUAACAAGAAAGAUUGCGACCUCGAUGUUGGAUUAAGAAAAAUUAAGGUGCAGUAAUUUUAAUUUUAGGUCUGUUCGACCUUUUAAUUCUUACA
rnacentral:rRNA from 1 species